AGGUUUACUCUCUGGUGUAGACGCGGAAAGUUUCUGGCUGCAACGAGAACGUAGCUCACGUUUUGCGAAUGGUUGCAGUUCCCACUGUAAGGUCUGGCCUACAGAGACAAGCAAUCAUGGAGUUCGUCGAGGAUGAAUUCCUAAUUGGAACAGACAUACUCAGCAACUGGCAGAUUCCUACAUUAGUUCCCGGACCUAUGGAGUGAGGGCCAUUAUGGUAGGAAAGGCAAGUGGAAGCCUCAAGAACUGUCUCUACCUAGCAAAUGAAAACCAAAAGCAAUGCUGCAUUCCUGAAGGUAUUGCAGAGAUUAAUUCCACCAUCAAGGACCUGGAGCAUGCAAGGAUGAUGAUUCUCACCAUAUCCCCAUUCAACUCACCUAUUUGGCCUAUGCAGAAAAUAUAUGGAUCUUGAAUAAUGAUAAUGGAUUAUCACAAACUUAAUUAAAAGUUGACUCAAGUUGCAACUGCUAUACCAGAUAUGAUUUCAUUGCUUCAACAAAUUAAUAAAUACAUCCUUGUUACCUGGU